GACGGAGGAUGCAAGUGUUAUCCGGAAUCACUGGGCGUAAAGCGUCUGUAGGUGGUUAAAUAAGUCAACUGUUAAAUCUUGAGGCUCAACUUCAAAAUCGCAGUCGAAACUAUUAGACUAGAGUAUAGUAGGGGUAAAGGGAAUUUCCAGUGGAGCGGUGAAAUGCGUAGAGAUUGGAAAGAACACCAAUGGCGAAAGCACUUUACUGGGCUAUUACUGACACUGAGAGACGAAAGCUAGGGUAGCAAAUGGG
rnacentral:rRNA from 1 species